UGGCAAUGAUUAUAAUAUACCCGCGCUUCUGAAGGUAAUAAUGAAGCACAUGGGAAAAUAUGGUUGAAUUUCUUAAUAUGAGCCU